rnacentral:rRNA from 1 species
GUGCCAGCAGCCGCGGUAAUACGAAGGGUGCAAGCGUUAAUCGGAAUUACUGGGCGUAAAGCGUGCGUAGGUGGUCUUUUAAGUCCGUUGUGAAAGCCCUGGGCUCAACCUGGGAAUGGCAGUGGAUACUGGAAGGCUGGAGUACGGUAGAGGAGGGUGGAAUUCCCGGUGUAGCGGUGAAAUGCGUAGAGAUCGGGAGGAACAUCAGUGGCGAAGGCGGCCCUCUGGACCAGUACUGACGCUGAGGCACGAAAGCGUGGGGAGCAAACAGGAUUAGAUACCCCAGUAGUCC